rnacentral:rRNA from 1 species
AUGGUGAACUCCAACUACUCCGCGCUACCGCUGACCUCCACGGCCAUCGAGCUGCAGUCCGCCCAGCCGCCUCCGCCGCCCAAAUCUGGUGCCUCCGCCAAGCUCACCAAGCAGGACUCGUUCCUCGGCGAGGUCGAGGACGACGAUGCCGCCACCCCCGGCGAGCACGACGAGCUACCGCUCAUCGGCGACGACGGCCCGGCGGGUCCCCCUGAAGGCUCGGGCGUCUCCGGCGCGGUGUUCAACCUCGCGACCUCCAUCAUCGGGGCGGGCAUCAUGGCGCUGCCGGCGACCAUGAAGGUGCUCGGCGUGGCCGUCGGCCUCGUCUCCAUCCUCGUCAUGGGGGUGCUCUCCGAGGUCACCAUCGAGCUGCUCGUCCGGUUCGCGGUGCGCUGCCGCGCGCUCUCCUACGGGGAGCUCGUGCACCGGGCCCUCGGCCGCCCCGCCAGCGUCGUCGCGCAGCUCUGCAUCGUCGUCAACAACGCCGGCAUCCUCGUCGUCUACCUCAUCAUCAUCGGGGACGUCAUGUCCGGGUCCCUCAAGCACAUGGGCGUCAUGGACCAGCUCGUCGGCCAGGGCGAGUGGGACAACCGCAGGCUGCUCAUCCUGUUUGUCCUUGUGGUGUUCCUCGCCCCGCUGUGCGCGCUCGAGAAGAUUGACUCGCUGAGCCUGUCGUCUGCCGCGUCGGUCGGGCUCGCCGUUGUUUUUGUGGCCGUCUCGUGCAUGAUCGCGGCGGUGAAGCUAGUUGAGGGCAAGCUCGCCGCGCCGAGGAUGGGGCCUGAUUUCAGCUCGAAGGCGGCAAUUCUGGACCUGCUGGUGGUGAUACCCAUCAUGACCAACGCCUACAUCUGCCAUUUCAAUGUGCAGCCCAUCUACAACGAGCUCAAGGAGAAGACGCCUCAGAACAUGUACAAUAUCAGCCGGAUCUCCACCGUGCUCUGCGUAGUCGUGUACUCCCUGACCGCCAUCUCCGGGUACCUCCUGUUCGGCGACGACACCGAGUCCGAUGUCCUCACCAACUUCGACAAGGACCUUGGGAUCAAGUUCAGCACGGUGCUCAACUACAUUGUGAGGAUCGGGUACAUCGUCCACCUGGUCCUCGUCUUCCCGGUGGUCCACUUCUCACUGAGGCAGACGGUGGACUCGCUGGUCUUCGGUGAGCUCGCGCCCCACAGCAGGAAGAGGAUGCUCUCCCUGACGGUGGUGCUGCUGGCCCUCAUCUACCUCGGCUCGACCAUGAUACCCAACAUCUGGAUGGCCUUCAAGUUCACCGGCGCGACGACGGGGCUGGCAUUGGGUUUCAUGUUCCCGGCCCUCGUGGCGCUGAGGCUGGACAAGGAAGGGGAGUGCCUGGGCCGCGGAGAGAGGCUCCUGUCGGUCGGAAUGCUGGGGCUGGCCAUCGUCGUCAGCGUCGUCGGGGUUGUCGGAAACGUGUACAGCCUGAGGAGCAAGUCUGAGUGA